rnacentral:hammerhead_ribozyme from 2 species
AUCCAACUGAUAAGCCCUAAAUAGGACGAAACGCGCGUCUUGGAU